rnacentral:lncRNA from 1 species
GUCACACUAGCCACUCGGCGAACAUGCUCGUCCCCUAAGAAGUGAAAACAAGAUUCACCAAAGGAAGAUCUGUCACAAGGAAGCCAUUCGAUUGGCUGCUAAGUGGUCACCAGGCAAUAAGCAUUACAGGAAUCAAGAGGGAAAAUCCAUUUUGACUCAUUAGUGAGCAAAUGGAAUCGUCUACAUAGAGCUUUGGCUUUUCAAGCCAGAAAGGGUCUCAGCUCUCAGUUAACCUAGGAAUUGUGACAUCACAAAGACAAGGUCUAAAUGACUGAAAAGAUAAAGACCUGGCCGGUAUUGGGGCAAAAACAGGACCCUCUGACCAAAAACUGGAGCGGCUGCCCUCAAUCAUCCCCUCAGAGCUGUCAGGGUGUUGGAAGAUGGUGGCCCGUUUCCUUGACAGACUGUUUAUUUCACUCCUCAAAUGCGCUGUCCCAACACAGUGACGGCAUAGGAGAGCACUGGGGGACGUCUGAAGUUGCUGCCAUUCAUUAGCAUCGAUUUCAACCUUCAGACGCCCUCCUCCACCUUCCCUCCCACCAGGUCCCUGCUCCUCCCCCACCUAGUCUAGUCUGAAGAGAAUCCCAGAGUCGCCUCAUUAGAACAACAGACGCUCCCAUCACCCAAGAAAUUCCAAGGGACUUAGGAGCCCUGUGUCAGGAACCCGGUCAAAGACCAAACAUCAGAACAAAAGAUGCUCCUAGUGCUCCUGUCACUUAGGAAAUGACAAGGAUCUCAGGAGCCCUGUGCCUGCAGCCAAGCAGAGACCAAUACUGAGAUUUCCUCUUCUCUCAUGACAACACACCCAUGCGCGUCCCUCCUUGGCCUCACAGUCCGGCUCCUGCUCCCUGAAAUCACUUUCCAAAAUGAGCGGCCUGCCUGCAAGCCUGAGGCUCAGGCUCACCAUCUCAGGGACCCCGGGCUAAGAUGCCAACCCAGGAAGGGCCAAAGGGACCUCCAGGAAGGACGACGAAGGGCAGCCCCAGCGUGCCGGCUGGGCAGGAGGCCUGGAGGGUAAUCAGCCGAGAGGGAGGAGAACAGAGACUCAGGAGGGGUGUGUCCAGGAGGGAAGCUGAAGCUCACAGACUUGACGUGGGACGGGACGGACCGCAUGAGAAGCCGUCCUGAGAGGCCAGGAGGAGGGGACUGGAAGAGCACGUCCCUGUUUACGUGGAAUCGGAGGUCAUCCCCACUGUCAGACGG